CUGGGCGGCAGAUGAAAUUACCAAAAAGAAAAAAAAUGCUAAAACAAUUAGAAAUGGAAAAGGGUUUUCUGAACCCCUAAUCCCUAACCCCUAACGUGCUUCCUCUCUUUCUCUCACACUCAGCCUCUCUGCUCUUCCUUUCUCACACUCAGAACUCAAAUGCCUCAUCUUCAAUCUGCAACCCAAACUUCCGCCACUUACUUUCCAUGCCACCGUCGUUGCACGUCUCUUCCCAAUAGACUUCUCACCCUUUAGCCUCUGCACUCCCACUCUCUUUUCUCCACCGUGGGGCUUUGGGGAUUCAUUUUUUUCUCACCCAUUUCAGCUCAAAACUUUUUUUUUUCUUUUUUGCUAUUCUAUUCCCCAAAUGUACAACUCAUCUCUUUGCCUCUUUCCCGAACGUGACACCCUAAUCUCUCAUGCCAUUUCAGAUUUGAAUUAUCUGAAAAAUUAAAGACUUCUAGUGGAAUUAAGUUAACAUGCAUGCACAAGGCAUCCUCUGUAUAUGCAUCUGUAUUAUGGUGAAUAGCACUCUACUGAGUACAUCUCUCAUGGAAAUUUGAAUCACGCCAAUUUACUGAGCACUCUACUAAGUACAUCCAUCAAGGAUUCAGAGUUUUAACUUGCGGUCAGCGCACAAGGCCAUUGAAGAAACAUGAGGAAAGGGAAAUUAUCUGAGGAGGCAUGUCAUGCACCCAGCUCCAACUUUGAGAAUAAAAAUAGAAUAUUGAAUAGAGAUAAGAGUCUUUUCAUUUGAAGCGUGAAGCG